CACACGACUCUCGGCAACGGAUAUCUCGGCUCUCGCAUCGAUGAAGAACGUAGCGAAAUGCGAUACUUGGUGUGAAUUGCAGAAUCCCGCGAACCAUCGAGUCUUUGAACGCAAGUUGCGCCCGAGGCCACUCGGCCGAGGGCACGCCUGCCUGGGCGUCACGC
rnacentral:rRNA from 1 species